UGCCCCAGUAACGGCGAGUGAAGCGGCAACAGCUCAAAUUUGAAAUCUGGCCUCGGCCCGAGUUGUAAUUUGUAGAGGAUGCUUUUGGCGAGGUGCCUUCUGAGUUCCCUGGAACGGGACGCCGUAGAGGGUGAGAGCCCCGUAUAGUCGGACACCUAGCCUCUGUAAAGCUCCUUCGACGAGUCGAGUAGUUUGGGAAUGCUGCUCAAAAUGGGAGGUAUAUCUCUUCUAAAGCUAAAUAUAGGCCAGAGACCGAUAGCGCACAAGUAGAGUGAUCGAAAGAUGAAAAGCACUUUGAAAAGAGGGUUAAAUAGCACGUGAAAUUGUUGAAAGGGAAGCGCUUGUGACCAGACUUGCGCCGGGCUGAUCAUCCAGUGGUCUCACUGGUGCACUCGACCCGGCUCAGGCCAGCGUCGGUUCUCGCGGGGGGAUAAAAGCUUCGGGAACGUGGCUCCUUCGGGAGUGUUAUAGCCCGUUGCUUAAUAUCCUCGCGGGGACCGAGGUUCGCGCUCUGCAAGGACGCUGGCAUAAUGGUCAUC
rnacentral:rRNA from 1 species